rfam:Myotis brandtii contig164961, whole genome shotgun sequence.
GGUGGUUCUCGGGUGACACACCUGGAACCAGAGGGGGUCCGAUUCCGGGGUGCGUCACCCAAGAACCACA